GGUAGCAUAAUCAUUUGUUCUAUAAUAGAGAACUGGGAUAAAAGGGAGAACAACUUUAAUACUUUUUAGCCUAUUCUUAGAAAUUGAUAUCUACAUCAAAAAGUGUAGCUUGGUUGAAGGGACGAUAAGACCCUAUAAAACUUUAUUACAUUCCCUAAAAUCUCGGUAAUAAAAACGGAGGGGGGUAAUUAAACUGGGGCGGUAUCUAAAACUCUUUAGAAUAAAUAACACAUCAAGUGAAGAGCUUUAUCCUUUGAGGAAUAAAAGUUACUUUAGGGAUAACAGCGUAAUUUCUUAAGAUGGUUACAUUUUGAUGAAGACUUACGACCUCGAUGUUGAAUUGAGGGGCCAACUUCCGUUGAGGAAGCUUGGAGGUCUGUUCGACCUUUAAAUCCUCACACGAUUUG
rnacentral:rRNA from 1 species